rnacentral:rRNA from 1 species
GAUGAACGCUAGCGGGAGGCCUAACACAUGCAAGCCGAGCGGUAGAGAUUCUUCGGAAUCUUGAGAGCGGCGCACGGGUGCGGAACACGUGUGCAACCUGCCUUUAUCUGGGGGAUAGCCUUUCGAAAGGAAGAUUAAUACCCCAUAAUAUAUUGAAUGGCAUCAUUUGAUAUUGAAAACUCCGGUGGAUAGAGAUGGGCACGCGCAGGAUUAGAUAGUUGGUGAGGUAACGGCUCACCAAGUCAACGAUCCUUAGGGGGCCUGAGAGGGUGAUCACCCACACUGGAACUGAGACACGGACCAGACUCCUACGGGAGGCAGCAGUGAGGAAUAUUGGACACUGGGUGAGAGCCUGAUCCAGCCAUCCCGCGUGAAGGAUGACGGCCCUAUGGGUUGUAAACUUCUUUUGUAUAGGGAUAAACCUACUCUCGUGAGAGUAGCUGAAGGUACUAUACGAAUAAGCACCGGCUAACUCCGUGCCAGCCGCCGCGGUAACAC